AAGAUGGUCAACUAAGAAACUACUAAUUAGGUGGCUGGAAUAUGAAUAUAGUGAACAGUAGAUUUCCUGUAGGCCAGCAAUAAACCAUUGGGACUUUCACCAGUUGCUACAUUUGCUACAUGUGUCUGCUGAUCUUUGGCCUACUGGGCAGUUUCCAUCCCAGACAUGCUUUGAAUGGUGAGAGCACUCUGGAAGAUAAAGCUUCCAGCUUCCUGCUUACCAUAGAGAAAAUCCACUGUUUUGAAGGGUCAGUGGCAAACAGAAGUCUGGUUGCUCUCUGUGUCCAUCUAGAGAGCCAAAACUACACUCUAUUGCCCAUCUCACUCAGUAUAAAAAUAAACUUAAAAGAAGUUUAUAAUCAGAGGGCAUGUAGCAUGAGGAUCCUGGAAUCUGGAGGCCCUGUUGUCCUGCUAGAAGAAUUCCAAAAAGUAUACUAAGAGAAAUUGAAAAAGGUUUUUCUAAAGUUAGCUUAAAAAAAAAAAAAAAA
rnacentral:lncRNA from 1 species